rnacentral:rRNA from 1 species
CAAAGCACUUUGAAGAGAGAGUUAAAGAGGACGUGAAACCGAUGAGAUGGAAACGGAUAGAGUCAGCGUAUCUGGCCUGUAUUCAUCCGCACUCCCAUUGGCAGCAGGGAUUUGCUCUCCAGAUUGGGACUGAUUUUUGCUUGCCCAGUGGUCGUGUGGUGCAUUUGCAGGUGGAGUGCGUCGAGGCGCUGGGCACGGCUGCAUGAACUCAGUUUUGAGGCCAGCUUGCUGGUACCCAAAUUGGGGGAUUGCUGUUCGUACUCAGUGUUUUUUGGCAAGGCAUACGAGCCCGGUUGGGCACCGAGCUGGCAGUCGGAAGCGGUCACAUCUGACACGGCUGUGCGGUCAGUUCGGUCCUGGCCGAGCUCACUAGCCCGAUCUCGGCGUAAAAGCUGGUCAUCUAUCCGACCCGUCUUGAAACACGGACCAAGGAGUUUAUCGUGUGCGCAAGUCAUUGGGUAUUGAAAACCCAAAGGCGCAAUGAAAGUGAAUGUCUCCGCAAGGAGCAGACGUGCGAUCCCGGGCACUACGGUGCCUGGGCGCAGCAUGGCCCCAUCCCGAUUGCUUGCAAUGGGGUGGAGGAAGAGCGUGCGCGGUGAGACCCGAAAGAUGGUGAACUAUUCCUGAGCAGGAUGAAGCCAGAGGAAACUCUGGUGGAAGUCCGAAGCGAUUCUGACGUGCAAAUCGAUCGUCUGACUUGGGUAUAGGGGCGAAAGACUAAUCGAACCAUC